CACACACAUACAUAUUUAUAGGCUCACUGGCAGCAACUCAUUUUGCCCAAGUCCCUCAAGAUGUUGCUCCUCUUCUUACUUGCACUCCUCAAUUUCAACCCAUCUCUUAGCCUAAAACUUUGUUCCUUCAAUGUGAGGUCUUUUGGAGAAACCAAAAUAGCCAGACCCGAAGUCGUCGACGCCGUGGUAAAGAUCAUUUCUCGCUGUGACAUCAUGUUGCUGAUGGAAAUAAAGGACAACAAGAACCGUGUUUGUCCUCUCCUGGUGGAGAAGCUCACCAGUCACCUGAAGGAGCCAGAGGAGGAAUACAGGUGCAUUGCCAGCCAGAGGCUGGGCAGGAACAGCUACAAGGAGCAGUACAUCUUCAUCUACAGGCAACAUCUGGUAUCGGUGAAACAAACCUACCAGUACCCUGACACCCAGCCUGGGGACGAGGAUGUCUUCUCCAGAGAGCCCUUUGUCAUCUGGUUCCAGUCUCCAAAAACCGCUGUCAGUGAGUUUGCUAUAAUCCCUCUGCACACCACACCAGACACUGCAGUGCGGGAGAUUGAUGAGCUCUACGAUGUGUAUUUAGAUGUCAAACAGCGCUGGAAAACCGAGAACUUCAUCUUCAUGGGAGACUUCAAUGCUGGAUGUGGCUAUGUUCCCCUAAAGCACUGGAAGAACAUCCGGCUGAGGACUGACUCUGAAUUCAUCUGGCUGAUUGGUGACAAAAAUGACACGACAGUGAAGAGCAGCACAAACUGCCCAUAUGACAGGAUCGUAGUCAGCGGGCAGAAGCUCAUCCACGCUGUCGUGCCACACUCUGCCACUAUCUUUGAUUUCCAGAAGGACUUUCAGAUGACUGAGGAACAGGCACUGGGGGUGAGCGACCAUUUCCCGAUAGAGUUUGAGUUAAAAGCAAAAGGUGGCUUCUUCAACUGGCUGAGAUCAAAGUUUUCAAGGAAGAGGAGGCCAAGGAAGAGCCUUCAGUCAAGACCAUGACCGUGCUGAGUCCUCAUCCAUGGCGUGGAAAUACACAAAUGCCAACAGAUCUCGUAGAAGACUGGUAAAUAAACCAGCUAGAAGCAGCAUACUCUACUUACUGUACCUGUUGGAAAUUGAGUUGCUUCGGGGUGCACAAGAAGUUGUGAGGGGAGAUCAGACCCCCAGUGACACAAGGGAUAUCCCACACCAUAUGGAGACACACAGCACACAGAGCUCGGGGAAGAAGAAGGAACAAGAGGACUUUGGGAGUAAUGGUGUUUGUCUUCCCCAGUAACCAUUACGUGCGAUGGAGCCCAGAUUUCCUGGGGGUGGCUGAACACCUGCCUGCCCAUGGGAAGCAGUGAAUGAAUGCCU